CCCGAGUAGCUGGCCAAGUGCACCGUCUGAACCUCCCGGCUUUCUGCUGCCGGGUUGCUUCCUGCUCGGCACAAGUGAACCAUGUUUGCAGGAAAGCAGCUUCCGGGUUUCAUAGUCUCCUAAAUUGGGCUGUUCCAACUCCCCCUAGCUCCCACCCUGCAGCAUUCCAAUCUACCUCCCAAGAGGGAGUCUCUCCGUGGCUUGGACCUCAGAACUCCCUCUGCCCUUGUCCUUCGGACGCUGUGUGUUGGUGGAGGUGCAUCACCGGCCACUGGAAAUCCCUAACAGGGAACAGCCAGAGAGGGUUCCCUCCUUCUACCCAGCCGAGCUGUUUGAGGUAUCUCCUGUUUGCCCUUCAUUCCUGUCCUUUCCUUACCCCUCUCUCUUUGUAGGAUGCUGUCCUCCGACACCAGACUCCCGGGCCCUUUCAUCAACUGGUCUCUGGCCAGAGUCAGCCAAGGGAAGACUCUGCUGGGGAACAUGGCCCUUUCCUGUUUCAGACAGUGCGCGUGGCAGUGGCCACUUCUCACGCAAGGUUGUGGCUCCUGCAGACGGGCCCUAAGCCUCCCACUGAGGUCCUGGCUUCUGAGGAAUGCACACCUGUGAAGGGGCUGUUAUCACAUCUCCUCCCUUUGCACCGUUGGCCAGGGCCAUCCGUGGUGCCCCUGGGAUGGCUCCUCUGGGCUGCCUCACGGAGCCCUGUUGAGAUGACUUCCUUGUCAGCUGCAUCCUCCAUUAACUGGUAGUCUUGGGGGGUAAACGGAGUCACACUAUAUUAUGCAUAUAUCAACUUUAAUGAGACACAGCUGCAGAACUACGAUGUGUAGAAACAGGUGCAGAUGGUGUGACUCCAUUAGCGCCAUCCUUCGCCUGAGCCAGGAUGUGGCCGCUGUGCGCCCAGGACCCGUUGCAGACGAUACAAGCCCAAGCCACUCCCAGCAGGGCGCCCCUCUGCCGUCGGGAGACAGAUGGCUCUGUACUGGUGACGAAGCUGUUUCUGUGUUGUCCUUCCCGGCUGCUGGGUUCCAUCUGCUUGUCCUUCCAAAUUUGGCUUGUGAUGAGAAGGUGCAGGGAGAAACUGGACUUUGGGGAUCACAUGCUCUUCUCCACCUUUCACUGUUUCCCGGCGUUCGGCACCAAACUCGGCCUCGAUAACGGCCCAAGAAGUAGCUAUUUCCAUAUGCCGGUCUUAUGUUCGGGCCGAUGACUCUGCCCGCCUCCACGGGUCAACCCAGUGUACAUCCAGAAUGCCACAUGGUAUCACUGGGAGACUCAGGACCGUUGACUCUGCUCUGGGCCCAGCCUCGCAGGGCGGCUCUUGAUUAAAGGAGACCUCGUACCACCAUCACUGGAACGUACCAACAAGGCUUCCUCAGCUCCUCUUACUACUCUGUAGAAUCUCAGUUGUGCAUGACGAACACAUUCUGGAGAUCGAAAGUACAGCACAACGGACAACAAUACCGUAUACUGGGAACUUGGAAGAGUUAGAACCUAAGUGUUCUCAUCAACACCACCACCGAAGAGAAACUGCGUGAGGUGGUAGAUGGGUUAAUUAGCUUGAUUGUGGUGGUUAUUUCACAAAGUAUAUGCAUGUCAAAUCAGCAUAUCGUACACCUUAUCCAUAUACCAUAAAAAAGAAAAAUAGGGUAUAAUUUCUACUCUCAAGUAGCUGACAGUGAAUAACAUAUAAAUUUCGGUGAGUUGCUUGGAGACACAGACAAUAUAUACCACGUAAUGUCCCGAGCCCAAAGAAUCACUGUGGGUUGAAUUUGAUUGGGCAUUUUUGUGGAGGACAUAAAACCUGAACUGGACCUUGAAAAAUGAAUAUCCAGUUCUAAAAGCCUGUCUUUAUUUCAGAGAGGCACAUCAGUAAAUCCACCCACUGAAGAAAAUUUGGAAACAGAAAAGAUUGGAGAAGGCAAAUAUUUCCUAUAAUCCCCCAAGACCAAGAUACCAAUGUGUAACGGCCAGAAUAAGCUUGUAAAACUUUUAUUUUGCCCAUUCUCCUAGUUUGUUUCUUGUAUCUUGACUAGAAUGUAUACUUCAUCUGGUGUUGAUACAGUUUUGGGACAUCUUAAAAAUUAAGCACAGUGUAGAAUACAAAAAAUUUCUUAAAUUAUAAUAAUCCUCUCAUCGCCCUAGUAAAAGCUUCUUACCUUCUGUUAAUUGAUUUUAUCCUCCUUAGCUCCUUCAUUUCCAAGGCAAAAGAGAAAAGUAUUGAUUUACAUUUCCACUACUUUCUGAAUUCAAAUUUUCUACUUUAUUUAUCAAGCUUUUUACUGUUGCUGAAUCCAAAUAGGAAUGAAUUAGAGAAUACUGGGUAACAAAACAGAUGCACUUAAAUACAGUUUUUGAAAAUACACAUCCGUGUUGUUUGAAUGGAAGAGAGUCGUAACACUGAACUACCCUAGUUGCCAGCAAAAUUGCUUUUACUAGAUUAUAAUACAGCCUGUGUUCAUUGCAACCGAAUGUUCUCGUUUCACCUAGCAAAAGAACAUAAAAAAAUCUUACCAAGGGGAGCCUGGUGGCUCAGUUGGUUGAGCGUCUCGACUCAGGUCAUACAUGACCUCAUGGUUCCUGAGACCGAGCCCCACGUCUGGCUCUGCACUGACAGCGUGGAACGUGCUUGGAAUUCUCUCCCUCCCUUCUCCCUCCCCUCUCUCCCCCUCCCCUGCUCUCUCUCUCUCUCUGUCAACAUAAAUAAAUAAACAUUAAAAACCGCCUUCCA
ensembl:lncRNA